rnacentral:rRNA from 1 species
GCUUACGACCACACCGGCCUGAGUACGCCUGAUCUCGUCUGAUCUCGGAAGCUAAGCAGGUCGGCCUGGUUAGUACUUGGAUGGGAGAGACUGCCUGGGAAUACCAGGUGCUGUAAGCU